AGUGAACGCUGGCGGUAGGCCUAACACAUGCAAGUCGAACGGCAGCACAGAGGAGCUUGCUCCUUGGGUGGCGAGUGGCGGACGGGUGAGGAAUACAUCGGAAUCUACUCUGUCGUGGGGGAUAACGUAGGGAAACUUACGCUAAUACCGCAUACGACCUACGGGUGAAAGCAGGGGAUCUUCGGACCUUACGCGAUUGAAUGAGCCGAUGUCGGAUUAGGUAGUUGGCGGGGUAAAGGCCCACCAAGGCGACGAUCCGUAGCUGGUCUGAGAGGAUGAUCAGCCACACUGGAACUGAGACACGGUCCAGACUCCUACGGGAGGCAGCAGUGGGGAAUAUUGGACAAUGGGCGCAAGCCUGAUCCAGCCAUACCGCGUGGGUGAAGAAGGCCUUCGGGUUGUAAAGCCCUUUUGUUGGGAAAGAAAUCCAUCUGGUUAAUACCCGGGUGGGAUGACGGUACCCAAAGAAUAAGCACCGGCUAACUUCGUGCCAGCCGCCGCAGUAA
rnacentral:rRNA from 1 species